CAAAGAGAACCGGUGGGUAAAAUACUAAACCCACCGGUUCAAACCGGUGGCUUUACUAUUUUUUUUUUUUAAAAAAACCGCCCCAUAAAUACCCAAAUAAACCCUACUCUUCUCAGCCGCUCUACUUCUCUUUCUCUCUCCUUCUCUCUCUUCUCUGUUCGUCUCCUUCUUUCUCUUUCGAUCUCAUCUCCUUCUUUUUCUUUCGAUCUCUUCUCCUUCGUUCUCAUCUCCUUCUCUCUCUUUUUCUCUUUCGUUCUUCCCCGAUGCUUGUCCAAUUAAUUGAAUACCACCUUCGAUCUCAUCCCCUUCUUGUUCGAUCUACAUCAACAUCAACAACAGUUUCUGGUUAUUUUUCGAGGUGAUUUCUGGGUUGUUUUAUUUUUAAAUUGCUUUCGAUCUCAUCUCCUAUUGAAGAUGAUGAAGAUUUUGAAGGUGGCUGUCGGAAGAUGUUAUCUAUACGCAAGGCUGCUGCUGCAGUUGCUGCCUUGCCAGGUGUUAUAUUGGUGAUUUGGUGUGACUUGUAUUUAACAGUGACUUGUAUUUUUUUUUUGGACCAAACUUGUAAUAUUACAACCUUUUUUUAAUGAAAAUAUGUAAG